rnacentral:rRNA from 1 species
CACAAAAAUGCACAUGCUGUGAGCUCGAUGAGUAGGGCGGGACACGUGGUAUCCUGUCUGAAUAUGGGGGGACCAUCCUCCAAGGCUAAAUACUCCUGACUGACCGAUAGUGAACCAGUACCGUGAGGGAAAGGCGAAAAGAACCCCGGCGAGGGGAGUGAAAAAGAACCUGAAACCGUGUACGUACAAGCAGUGGGAGCACGCUUAGGCGUGUGACUGCGUACCUUUUGUAUAAUGGGUCAGCGACUUAUAUUCUGUAGCAAGGUUAACCGAAUAGGGGAGCCGAAGGGAAACCGAGUCUUAACUGGGCGUUAAGUUGCAGGGUAUAGACCCGAAACCCGGUGAUCUAGCCAUGGGCAGGUUGAAGGUUGGGUAACACUAACUGGAGGACCGAACCGACUAAUGUUGAAAAAUUAGCGGAUGACUUGUGGCUGGGGGUGAAAGGCCAAUCAAACCGGGAGAUAGCUGGUUCUCCCCGAAAGCUAUUUAGGUAGCGCCUCGUGAAUUCAUCUCCGGGGGUAGAGCACUGUUUCGGCAAGGGGGUCAUCCCGACUUACCAACCCGAUGCAAACUGCGAAUACCGGAGAAUGUUAUCACGGGAGACACACGGCGGGUGCUAACGUCCGUCGUGAAGAGGGAAACAACCCAGACCGCCAGCUAAGGUCCCAAAGUCAUGGUUAAGUGGGAAACGAUGUGGGAAGGCCCAGACAGCCAGGAUGUUGGCUUAGAAGCAGCCAUCAUUUAAAGAAAGCGUAAUAGCUCACUGGUCGAGUCGGCCUGCGCGGAAGAUGUAACGGGGCUAAACCAUG